AAGUCGUAACAAGGUUUCCGUAGGUGAACCUGCGGAAGGAUCAUUAAUGAAUUGAAACAGGCUGUAAGCUGAUCUCUAUCUGAGAUAUGUGCACGCCUGGCCAUCAUUCAAACCUCUGUGCACCUAUUGUAGGGAUGGUGAAAGUCUUUGAUUAGUCUGAAACCUCUCUAUGUUUUUACUACAAACGCUUCAGUUAUAGAAUGUCAAUCUUUGGGUAUAAUGGAAAUAUAUAUACAACUUUCAGCAACGGAUCUCUUGGCUCUC
rnacentral:misc_RNA from 1 species